rnacentral:rRNA from 1 species
GGUAGCGUAAUAAUUUGGCCUUCAAAUGGGGUCCUGUAUGAAAGGAGUGACGGGGAUUGUCUGUCUCUUUAUUAUUUAUUUGAAAUUACUAUGUAAGUGAAAAAGCUUACAAUAAAUAAAUAGACGAGAAGACCCUAAGAGUUUCUUCUCUUACUUAUUUUUUUUAAUAAACAAGAGUUUUGUUGGGGCAACUUUUGAAAUCUAUUUCUUCUAUAAAUUAAACACACCGAUUAUAUUAUAAAUGAAUAAACUACCUUAGGGAUAACAGCAUAAUUUAAAUAAAUAAGUUUGUGACCUCGAUGUUGGACUAAGGAACAAUUAGCCUAGUCGGUUUAUUGAAAAGUUCUGUUCGAACUAUAUUUCCUU